rnacentral:tRNA from 1 species
GCCGCCAUGGUGAAAU